UCUCUUUUCGGAGUCUCAGAGGAUUCAAUAAACAAUCCAAACCCGAACCCAGGGUAUUCCAGAUGCUCGCACAUAUCUUUUGGAUUUGAAGGAGAUACGGCUCAAGUAUACAAUUAUCCGAGGGAGCGGCCUUUCACCUUUGAGGAAGAUAGAUGAAGUUCGAGAAAUGUUUGCAAAAUUCAUUACCAGUGAUUGUCUUUGAUAUUUUCUUGUACUGAAUCUUAAAUUAUGGAUGCUAGCUAGUUUUUCAUAUGAUUGUAAUGUAAUCGAAUUUUAUAUUUACAAUUAUUUACUAUUUAAUUUAAUUAUCUAUGUAAUUGGAUACUUUUUAUAUGACGUAUGGAGGUUAAUCA